UUCACUUUUUUAUUUUUUUAAUUUUCCAUUUAUUUCUUCUAACCUUAUUUCAUCCGAGCCCUAGGUUUCUCUUCAGCCUCCCAUUUGCCUCCAUCUCUAUUCUCGUUCUCAACCUAUUGCACCACAGCCACCACCAUCACUCCACCCCAUAUCCUCACACCACCACUGAAGCCAACCCCUCUCUCUUUGUUCGAGCUCUCUGCUAUGGGUUUUUCGGCGAGAUCUCUGGCCAAACCUCGGCCUCUCACUCUCGAUCUCAUCUCUUCUCCAUCGGCUUCGUCUCCGGCCGACCCUCGGCCAAGGAGAUAACAUUCUCAUCUCGCCGCCAUCCACCGCUGCAAUUUUCGCUCAUCUUCUUCGGCGAAUCUCAGGCGUCAUCUCAUCGUUCUCGGGUUGGUCUCUCUCUCGGAUUUUUCUCUUCAUUCCUUUGCUCUUCUCUCUAUCUUUCGGGCACUGUGAGAUAGUGAAAGUAGAGACUGGCAAGUUAUAGGCACCUUGGGAGUGACUGCACUUGGAUGGAGCACUUGGUCAGAUAUCUAAUUUCUUGGAUGUUCUAAAUUUCUAAUAUAGUGUAUGUGUGUGUGUGUGUGUGUUUUUUUUCUUUUUCAGUUGUAAUUUUACAUUAUUCAAAGCACGUAGAUCUUAUAAUUAGCUCAAAAGAGGGAUUUUACGUAUAUUUAGACAGCGUACUAUAAACUGACAUAAAAAGGUAGAUACAUAAAGCCUGAAGGCUCACACACUGGUGCUAAAAAUUUAUGCGCUUGAACACUAUCAUUUCUGUGUUAUACAGAUUGCUACAUUUUUUGAAAUUCUUUUCAGUCCAUAAGUUCUAAACAGAAUAAGCUCAUGCCAGAAUUGUUAUAUUUUCAAAAGGGCAAGAAAGGUCACUACACCAUAUUAGGGUUUUACCAGCGCUCUUUAAAAGAGCGCUGGUAUAGGUGCAAUCGUACCAGCGCUUUUUUAAAAACCUAUUAUAUAAUCAAAACCCAUAUCUGAUAUGCCAGAUUGUUCAAAAAAUCAAAACCCAUAUCUUUUAGUUUCCAUCGCCCGCUGUUCCAGUUCAGGUUCGCAGUUCGCAAGCUUCAGCCGCUGUCUCUCAACUCUCAAGCUUGCCCCUCUCUUUCUCUACAACUGCUAACUUGUAUGUUUGGGUUUUGUUUUUUUUUUAUUUUUAUUUUUUUGUUUUUUUUUCUAAAUCAAUUAAUCACUGGCUUGUUGUGAUGGAAAAACAUGAGGAGGACGACACUUCCAGGGACCAGAUCAUCGAUAGUUACAUCAAAACCCUAGCUAUGGUUGUUGGAAGAGUGAGUGCUCCGUGGUGUCGGAUGUUGCCGACGCAGACAAAUUUGAAAAUGCCUCCACUUCCUUCCAAUAUGAGGGAAAAGGUUCUUCCUAUUGCAGCAACACAAUCAAAGACCAGUGGGGGUGAAUGAUGGGAGGAGCAUCGAUCCAUCUGAGCUGCAAGAGAAGUUGACCGACUUAGUCAUUCGGACUUCAAGUUAGAUCCCCUUUUAAUUUUUGUUUCUCUGAUGUUUUUGUUUUCAAACUAGAAUGGGGCUUUGAGUUGGAUUUUGAAGUGUGAACUUAUGGUGCUUGUGGGGGCUACUUUCUACUCUUGGGAAGUUUGUUGUCUAUAUUUUUGAAAGAUAAAUAAUAAGCUGACAAUGAAACGAACGGUUAGUGAAGUCGAAAAAAUGAGUGAACAAAAUACCAAAGCUUCAACUUCAAAAUCAUCCCAACCACCUCCGCAGAUUUAUUCAUUCGCACACAUAUAAAUAAGGAUGGUAAUGCUACUGAUGUUGCUGCUUCGGAGAUGAUUGUUCCUUAUAUGAACUAGUACUGAAAACAUAUCAAAGGAAAUGUUUCUCUACCAUAAUGAAUCUGCUAUUGAGGAAGAUGCACAGGUAUAGAUGUUUAUGAUGCACAGAAGAUAUAGAUGUUGAGUCCAUUUUCUAGUCAUGAUGCCAAUUCAAUUAAGGGUAAUUCAAAUCAAAUGGGCAAGAAGACUUGUUGAAGUUGAAGCUAAAGAUGGGGUCGUGGCUGUGCUUUUUGAAUUUCCUUCCCCUUGGAUGGGUCCUUUUUGAAAAACUUGUACUACAUUUGUCAAAAAUUCUUAAUUCUUUUUGUGUGACAUUUUAGUAGCUUUAUCUAGACAAUUUGGAUGGUAUUUUCAUAUUGGCAGGUUAACUUGUGGUUGUAUUAGUAUACAUUUUGACUUUUUGGUUGACAUUUACCAACUUUAUCAAUUAGUAGCCAAUUUCGAUGGUAUUUUUCAUAUUGGCAGCAGGUUAACUUGUGGUUGUAUUAUGUAAAAACAAUUUGGAUGGUAUUUUUAUAUUGAUUUGUGUUA